UCUAGAAAAUUUUAGAAUUUAUUUAGAAUUUAUUAGAAAAUUUUACAACAAUUUUUAAGACUUUGGUAAAAUGAAUUUUACCACCUUAGAAGUCAUUAUGAAGAAAUGAAGCAAGAUUUAAAGGCCAUGUGAAGUUUCUAGCUUAAUAGGGUAUUUUUAAAAAUCAUACUGAAGUCAAAAAUAAAAAAAAAUAUUAAUUUUACCAGUAGAUAGUAAGAAGACCAAUAGUUAGUCUAGUCCUUCUAAGAAAGGAGGUGUACUAGUUUCAUAUGGAUUGUAGCAGCUUGGAUGUAGGUAGGACGAUAAGACUAAGGCCUUGUGGCCUUUCUAGAAUAUCUUAAUACACUACUUAUGAGCCUUGGUGAAGUUCAAACUUUUGAUAUCUUAAGCAAGUUAUCCUUAAGGUAGAAAUUAUUCAUUUAAUUUUUUUAUUACUUACAUUCUACCUUUAAACUAUCAUAACUUAUUCAUUACAUUUAGAUUUUUAAUGUCAUUGAAAAGAAAAAAAUACCUACUUUAAAAUAUAUUUUUAUUUUUAUUUUUUAUUUGAUAAAAAUCUAAUGAAUAGAUUGUGAUAAGUAUUCUUGAUAUGUACAAUUCUUUUUCUUUUUUUUCUUUUUUCUUUUUUUUACUUAUUUCACUUAUUUUGUGUUGCUCUUCUUUUAUUCUUAUUAAUAGCUUCUUCUACUUUAUACCACCAAUUAUAAAUAAUUCUUAAUUGAAGCAAUCAUUUGAUUUGGAGUGUGGUAAAUUAUACCUUAACAACAUUAUUUAUGAACCAUGGUGAGGCUCAAAUCCUUGAUUUCUUAAAAAGUCUUUCUUUAUGCAAAAAAUAUUUAAUUAAAUAUUUUUAAUUUAAAUAUUUUAUCUCUAAACCUUCAUAACUUAUUAGCAAUGAUGUAAAUUUAUAUAUUUUCUGUAUUAUUAAAAAAUAAUUAUAGUUUUAAAAUUUUAUUUUUAUUUUUAUUUUUAUGGGAUAAAAAUCCAAUACAAAAAUUGUAAAAAAAAUUUAAAGUAUAUAAUUAUUUGAUUACAUUUCUUUUACUUGUUUCUUUCUUUUUUUAAAAUUUUUUUUAUUAGCUAUAUUUUUUACUUCACACCAAUACUUACCAAAAAAUCUCAAUUAAAACCAUCUCAUAAUUUAAAUUGAGGAGUGAAUUUUACCUUUACAUAAUGGUGAAUAUGCUUAGAAGUUGUGUUUCUAAUUGUGUGUAUAAAUGUGAAUUGCUUGCAUUAGUUAUUGACCAUCUUACUUGGACUUGUUGAAUGAAAAUUGAUAUUUCUUUUAAAUCAAUUGUAAGUUCUCUAAUUCUCUCUUCAUUUACAAUGACAAGCCAUGCAAUCCUUGAACUUUAAAAUCUAAUCAAUAAUUCAAUUGUUGAGUCAAAUAAAUACAAAGGAUCUUGAAUUUUUUCAAUCCAUUGUUGCAUAUUUAGAGUUUGAAUUUGAAAACAAAAUCAAUUAAUCUUUUAUUUUGUUAGUUUUUUUAAAGUCUUAAAUAAAAUUAAAAUUUAUAAUAAAAUUCUAAAUAGCAUAAAAUUUUAUUAUUACAAAAAGUCAAAUAAAUACUUACAAAAGCUUUAUAUAUUCAAUCUUUUAUUUUAAAAAAUCAUACUUGUAAAAUUUCAUUUACUAAAAUAAUUUAAUAUAGUCAUAAAAGUCUAAUAAUAUAUAAUAUUAUAUAUUCUUUAAUCAAAUUUUUUAUUUCAGAAUUAUCAUGGUUAAAAAUAUUGAUCCUUAAGUAAAUUUGAUAUUUUAAAUUAUUAUAGUUUUUUAUUUUAUUUUUUAAAUUAUUUUUUGAAAAUAUAUAUGUAUACAUAUAUUAAAUCUAGAUAAAUAAAUUUUUAUUCUUUAAAUUUUAAAAAAUUAUAUAAAUUACAA
rnacentral:lncRNA from 1 species